rnacentral:rRNA from 1 species
AGGCAUGCAAGUCGAAUGGGUUUAGACCCAUGGCAAACGGGUUAGGAACACGUAGGAAUCUGCCCCCGAGUCGCGGAUAACCCGGAGAAAUCCGGGAUAAUACGCGAUGUACUCUACGGAGUAAAGAUUUAUCGCUCGGGGAGGAGCCUGCGUCCUAUCAGCUUGUUGGCGGGGUAAUGGCCCACCAAGGCUAUGACGGGUAGGGGGUGUGAGAGCAUGACCCCCAACAUUGGCACUGAGACACUGGCCAAACACCUACGGGUGGCUGCAGUCGAGAAUAUUCCACAAUGGACGAAAGUCUGAUGGAGCGACGCCGCGUGCAGGAAGACGGCCCUCGGGUUGUAAACUGCUUUUCUCAGGGAAGAAUUACGAUGACUGUACCUGAGGAAUAAGAGGUUACUAACUCUGUGCCAGCAGUAGCGGUAAUACAGAGACCUCAAGCGUUAUCCGGAUUUAUUGGGCGUAAAGCGCAGGUAGGCGGAUAUGUUAGUCGGAUGUCAAAUAUCCCGGCUCAACCGGGAAAAGGCAUUCGAAACGGCAUGUCUAGAGAUAGCGAGAGAUCGGUGGAAUUCACGGUGUAGUAGUGAAAUGCGUUGAUAUCGUGAGGAACACCCAAGGCGAAGGCAGCCGAUUGGCGCUGUUCUGACGCUGAGCUGCGAAAGCGUGGGGAGCGAAUGGGAUUAGAUACCCCAGUAGUCCACGCUGUAAACGAUGCAUACUAGGUGCGGGGAGAAUCGACCCUUUCCGUGCCGGAGCUAACGCGUUAAGUAUGCCGCCUGGGAAGUACGAGCGCAAGCUUAAAACUCAAAGGAAUAGACGGGGAUCCGCACAAGUGGUGGAGCAUGUGGUUUAAUUCGACGGUAAGCGAGGCACCUCACCAGGGUUUGAAAUUCAGCUGCAGGGCCCAGAAAUGGGACGUUCUUCGAGAGUGCUGAACCAGGUGCUGCAUGGUUGUCGUCAGCUCGUGCCGUAAGGUGUUCCGUUCAGUCGGGAAACGAGCGCAACCCCCGUGAAAUGUUACAAUGUGUCAUUUCAGACUGCCCACCCCUAAGCGUGUGAAACACGCUUGACUUACAACAAACAA